rnacentral:tRNA from 1 species
GCGCCCAUAGCUCAGAUGGAUAGAGCAGCGACCUUCUAAGUCGUUGGUCGGGUGUUCGAGUCACCCUGGGCGCG